AAAUUGAAGAGUUUGAUCAUGGCUCAGAUUGAACGCUGGCGGCAGGCCUAACACAUGCAAGUCGAACGGUAACAGGAAACAGCUUGCUGUUUCGCUGACGAGUGGCGGACGGGUGAGUAAUGUCUGGGAAACUGCCCGAUGGAGGGGGAUAACUACUGGAAACGGUAGCUAAUACCGCAUAACGUCGCAAGACCAAAGAGGGGGACCUUCGGGCCUCUUGCUAUCGGAUGUGCCCAGAUGGGAUUAGCUAGUAGGUGGGGUAACGGCUCACCUAGGCGACGAUCCCUAGCUGGUCUGAGAGGAUGACCAGCCACACUGGAACUGAGACACGGUCCAGACUCCUACGGGAGGCAGCAGUGGGGAAUAUUGCACAAUGGGCGCAAGCCUGAUGCAGCCAUGCCGCGUGUAUGAAGAAGGCCUUCGGGUUGUAAAGUACUUUCAGCGGGGAGGAAGGGAGUAAAGUUAAUACCUUUACUCAUUGACGUUACCCGCAGAAGAAGCACCGGCUAACUCCGUGCCAGCAGCCGCGGUAAUACGGAGGGUGCAAGCGUUAAUCGGAAUUACUGGGCGUAAAGCGCACGCAGGCGGUUUGUUAAGUCAGAUGUGAAAUCCCCGGGCUCAACCUGGGAACUGCAUCUGAUACUGGCAAGCUUGAGUCUCGUA
rnacentral:rRNA from 1 species